rnacentral:rRNA from 1 species
AGCGAACGCUGGCGGCAGGCCUAACACAUGCAAGUCGAACGAACUCUUCGGAGUUAGUGGCGGACGGGUGAGUAACACGUGGGAACGUGCCUUUAGGUUCGGAAUAACUCAGGGAAACUUGUGCUAAUACCGAAUGUGCCCUUCGGGGGAAAGAUUUAUCGCCUUUAGAGCGGCCCGCGUCUGAUUAGCUAGUUGGUGAGGUAAAGGCUCACCAAGGCGACGAUCAGUAGCUGGUCUGAGAGGAUGAUCAGCCACAUUGGGACUGUGACACGGCCCAAACUCCUACGGGAGGCAGCAGUGGGGAAUCUUGCGCAAUGGGCGAAAGACUGACGCAGCCAUGCCGCGUGAAUGAUGAAGGUCUUAGGAUUGUAAAAUUCUUUCACCGGGGACGAUAAUGACGGUACCCGGAGAAGAAGCCCCGGCUAACUUCGUG